ACCUGGGUGGCUCAGUCGGUUAAGUAUCUGACUUCAGCUCAGUUCAUGAUCUCACAGGUUGUGAGUUCAAGCCCCACAUCAGGUU
rfam:Felis catus isolate Cinnamon breed Abyssinian chromosome A1, whole genome shotgun sequence.